UGGGGAAUCUUCCGCAAUGGACGAAAGUCUGACGGAGCAACGCCGCGUGUAUGAUGAAGGUCUUCGGAUUGUAAAGUACUGUCAUUGGGGAAGAACGGUUUUCUUGAAAAGAUUGAGAAGACAUGACGGUACCCAAGGAGGAAGCCCCGGCUAACUACGUGCCAGCAGCCGCGGUAAUACGUAGGGGGCAAGCGUUGUCCGGAAUUAUUGGGCGUAAAGGGCGCGUAGGCGGGCCUUUAAGUCCGGUGUGAAAGAUCAGGGCUCAACCCUGAGAGUGCAUCGGAAACUGGAGGCCUUGAGGACAGGAGAGGAAAGUGGAAUUCCACGUGUAGCGGUGAAAUGCGUAGAUAUGUGGAGGAACACCAGUGGCGAAGGCGACUUUCUGGACUGUAACUGACGCUGAGGCGCGAAAGCGUGGGGAGCAAACAGGAUUAGAUACCCUGGUAGUCCACGCCGUAAACGAUGAGUGCUAGGUGUAGAGGGUAUCGACCCCUUCUGUGCCGCAGUUAACACAAUAAGCACUCCCGCCUGGGGAGUACGGCCGCAAGGUUGGAACUCAAAUGAAUUGACGGGGUCAUAGCUGUUUCCUG
rnacentral:rRNA from 1 species